ACGGGAGGCAGCAGUGAGGAAUAUUGGUCAAUGGUCGGAAGACUGAACCAGCCAAGUCGCGUGCAGGAAGACGGUCCUAUGGAUUGUAAACUGCUUUUGUACGGGAAUAAAGUGCAGGACGUGUCCUGUUUGGAAUGUACCGUAAGAAUAAGGGUCGGCUAACUCCGUGCCAGCAGCCGCGGUAAUACGGAGGAUCCGAGCGUUAUCCGGAUUUAUUGGGUUUAAAGGGUGCGCAGGCGGUCGAUUAAGUCAGUGGUCAAAUCACGGUGCUCAACGCCGUUCCGCCAUUGAUACUGGUUGACUUGAUUCCGGUCGAGGCAGGCGGAAUUCGUAGUGUAGCGGUGAAAUGCAUAGAUAUUACGAAGAACUCCGAUUGCGUAGGCAGCUUACCAGGCCGGCAAUGACGCUCAUGCACGAAAGUGCGGGGAUCGAACAGGAUUAGAUACCCUGGUA
rnacentral:rRNA from 1 species